UAGUCUAAAUUCCAGUUAACAGAAAAAUAAAAAAUAUUGUUGGUUGGGAAAUAGUAGAACAAACGAGAGAGAGAGUGUGUGUGGUUACGAUGAGGAGAAGAGACAUAGAGGCAUACACUCACUUAAAAGCAAAACCAUUUUGGCUAAACCGAAAGACUCGGUCGGAGUCUAGAGCCUGUCUCUCCCGACAUCCUCUGCCACACCUCACGUGCAUGCUGC